AGCAGCCGCGGUAAUUCCAGCUCCAAUAGCGUAUAUUAAAGUUGUUGCAGUUAAAAAGCUCGUAGUUGAAUUUCGGGAUCAAUUUAUCGGUCGUGCCAAUGGUAUGAACUGGUACAAUUGGUUUCUCCCUUCUGACGAAGCAUGAUGUCAUUAAUUUGGUGUCGUGGGGAAUCAGGACUGUUACUUUGAAAAAAUUAGAGUGUUUAAAGCAAGCAUUAGCUUGAAUACAUUAGCAUGGAAUAAUGAAAUAGGACGUUUGAUCCUAUUUCGUUGGUUUCUAGGAUCGACGUAAUGAUUAAUAGGGAUAGUUGGGGGCAUUAGUAUUCAAUUGUCAGAGGUGAAAUUCUUGGAUUUAUUGAAGACUAACUACUGCGAAAGCAUUUGCCAAGGAUGUUUUCAUUAAUCAAGAACGAAAGUUAGGGGAUCGAA
rnacentral:rRNA from 1 species